rnacentral:lncRNA from 1 species
UGCUAGACAGAAUUGCAUUAAAAUCUCCUGCAAUGAUCCAGGGAUCAGUAAUACCAGCAGAUAAGUUUAGAAUAGACUUCCACAGCAUCCUCCUUUGAUCACAGUCAUUAAAUCCAUAGACUACUGUAAGCCAGCAGAUAAUAUCCCCAGUGAUAGUUUGAUCUUUACAAUGAAUGAGCUGAGCUUCCUCAAGAUAUCCAGUAACCACCACUUUUGUAGAGUCCCACAUGAUCCAUAUCCUCCCAUUUACUGCUCCACUAUAGUUAGUAAUCAUGUUCCAAUUAGGCACAAAAAAACUAGCUAUUCUACUAGCAUUGUGUUGUUUAACCUUAGUCUCUACAAGUCCUACAAGGUCAAACUUAUUAUUUCUAAAGUAAU